rnacentral:lncRNA from 1 species
UGUAAGAGCAUAGACCCUUCAUUGGGUCUAAGAUUUUAGAUUUUUAUCAUUAUUUUAUUCUAUAAUUGGAACAAUCUGACUUUUCAUUCUUUCUGGACAUUCAACUAUUUUGUGGCCUUUUUGACCACAACCAAAUGAUAUACUAGCAUUGCAAAGAUAAUCCUUUUUACCAUUAGCUCUACCAUAUCUAAAACACUUGGUACUAUCAAACGACUCAGGGUUAUCACUUGCUGAUCUCUUGUUGGCACUUUCAAUAUUUCUAUUCCUCUUUCCUUGAGAUUGAUUUGAUCUGUUUCUCUUCUUUUAAUUUUUUUCUCUUUCUGCAUACUCCUUAUUGACUUUCCUUUUAAUUAUCAAUAUUUUAUUCACUACAUUUGCAUAAAUAAUUAAUUCAUAUGACAUCACUUGCUUUUUAACUUCUAUCUUUAGUCCCAUAUCAAAUUGAUAUACUCGAUCACGCUCAUCUUCGACAAACCUCGGAGUAAAUAAAUUUAACUUCAUAUUUUACAACUAUCAUAUUCUUUUAUUUUAGAUAAAUAAAUUUUUACUCUUUUUAAGCCCUUGCACUUUAAGGAGAAUGCUGGUCAUAAAACUCUCUUUGGUAUCUUUCCCAUGUGAGUUGUUCUUUAUUUUAUUCAUAUUUAUGAUCCAGUAUUUGUCGCCAGGUGAACGUCUCACCUUGC